UACGUAGGGGGCGAGCGUUGUCCGGAUUUAUUGGGCGUAAAGAGCGUGUAGGCGGCCAGGUAGGUCUGCUGUGAAAACUCGAGGCUCAACCUCGAGACGUCGGUUGAAACCGUACGGCUAGAGUCCGGAAGAGGAGAGUGGAAUUCCCGGUGUAGCGGUGAAAUGCGCAGAUAUCGGGAAGAACACCCGUGGCGAAGGCGGCUCUCUGGGACGGUACUGACGCUGAGACGCGAAAGCGUGGGGAGCGAACAGG
rnacentral:rRNA from 1 species